UAUUUUAUUAAACAGAAAGGGAAAUCCACCGUUCAGUUGAACCGCGUUCGUCUAAACGUUAUCAGCCAGUUAUCAUGUCGAAUUUGUUUCAAAUCGAUGUGUUUACUUGUCAAGACUGACAAGAAACACGUGAAAACUGACUGGCACGAGUCAAUUGACGUGCUAGUGGCUUGUCGAACUCUUGGACUGGUUUCAACUCCGUAUUUUAAGCGCUGAAACUCGAUCUCCCUGAAGAGUGACCUUUGUGUUGUGUGGCCGUUCAAUCGGACGUGGAGUGUCGAUCUUUCUUUUCACCCUGUAUAUUUGGAGACUUCACUGUACAGACGUAACUGGUGUGGACUUUUGUUCAAUGUUCGAAUACUCAUUCGGCGGGAACCGCAACAGUUAAUCCAGAACCGCUAAGCUGCCAUCUUUGGAAGAAUCGUAAUUGUGAUCUCACAAAGGCAUAUGACACUGUACUUCGGGAACACGUAUGAGAAGCAUCAUAUACCAUCUCUUUAAAUGUAACUUUUACAAACGCUAUAAAUGAGUCCUACAGAAGCUCUUGUUCAAGGCCGUAACAGGAAGAAACGGGACUAAAAAACAGUAAUUCUGAAGGUAAUUGAGGAUUAUAUUUUCUUGGGACAUAUGAAGCUUAUUGCACGAUAUAGGAAACUGUAGGAGCAUUUGACUGCAUUUAAGUGCUUAAAAAAUUUAUAAUAUAUACAAAGCCAAAUAUACAAAUUUACUUGAAAAAAUUGGGAAUUAGAGAAGCUGAAAAACUCAUUAACAGCACAACUGAUCACUGAUACCUACAGUAGACUCUGGUGGCCUGCACGUUUACCUGAUUUUAUACCAGUUAAUUUCUUGCAACUAUUACAGACCUCAAGUUGUGAUUUACUAGUAGUAGAUUCAAUUUUAUAUUGUCUUUUUGUUAUUUAGCGUUUGAGAAAUUAUUGAUCCGUACAUCAAACAGUUUUUAAGCUAAUGGACAGUUUUCGAAUACCAACCGUAAUUCGCGUGGUACGACAUUUGCAUGACAAAAGCCAUAUAGAAGCACGCUAAAAACACCCCACCUACUAUUUGAAUACGAGUUAAGUAGAGAUCAAUUGUUCUACAUCAAAUCCCACACGUGGGACGAACGAAAGUGGAUACCCACCUCCAUCAAGUGCAAUAUCGCAACUGAAGGGUUCCACCAACGAUGUUCUAACCUGAAGACUUUCUUUUAAGAUACAUUUACUUUGUUUUGUGGGAACACUUUAGUUCAUACGCUGAUAAUAAGGCCAAAAAAUAAUUUUGCUGUAAUCACACUGAGGUAAUCUAAAUGUGUUCAAGUGUGUAAUUAUGAGUGUAAAUGGGAAAGGAACUUUUCGAUACAUUUUUCCAUGCUAUUCAUCUGGGAAAGCGUUUGAUUUUUAUAACGUACUUAGUUUAUUCUUCUUUUACUUAGUUAUUAACACCUACAGCGUUUUAGGCUUUGUGUAUGCUGAGAGCACAGUUUUUCUACAGAAACUACACAAAUUUUCAUUUAAGAAACAUGUUUUUGUUAUUUUGUGCGCUUAAUCGCGAGCCAUUAGAUAGAAUAAUUCUAAGUUGGAAAACUUUUUGGAGAGACCAAAAAACAUUAAAUAAUCAUUUAAACAUUGGGAGUGAAUCUUCCUUAUGCAACAAUACCAUUUUGGUACGUGAUUAGAAGUUCACCAAGGUAGCAAUGAUUUUGGAAAGUUUUUCUUAAUAAAAGUCAGAUAAGAUUAAUCUAGCUCUUCGUAACUGAAAAAAAAUCCUAUUAAUAUGAGUUUUUUCUCACUUAAAGUAGCGGAUUUUCGCUUUGUUAUGGGCCAAAUUGAGCGAUCUUUUUUUUACUUGGUGAGUUUUUUAAAAAUCGGUGUCGUCCAAGGACCAAUCGCUUCGAUUUAGCAACCGAAAAA